AACCGGCUAGUCUAAUUCUAAGACCUAAACUUUGAAAGUUUGAGAUAGGGUUUAACCCUGCUGGUUU
rnacentral:tRNA from 1 species